rnacentral:rRNA from 1 species
GAUGAACGCUGGCGGCGUGCCUAAUACAUGCCAGUCGAGCGAACGGACGAGAAGCUUGCUUCUCUGAUGUUAGCGGCGAACGGGUGAGUAACACGUGGAUAACCUACCUAUAAGACUGGGAUAACUUCGGGAAACCGGAGCUAAUACCGGAUAAUAUUUUGAACCGCAUGGUUCAAAAGUGAAAGACGGUCUUGCUGUCACUUAUAGAUGGAUCCGCGCUGCAUUAGCUAGUUGGUAAGGUAACGGCUUACCAAGGCAACGAUGCAUAGCCGACCUGAGAGGGUGAUCGGCCACACUGGAACUGAGACACGGUCCAGACUCCUACGGGAGGCAGCAGUAGGGAAUCUUCCGCAAUGGGCGAAAGCCUGACGGAGCAACGCCGCGUGAGUGAUGAAGGUCUUCGGAUCGUAAAACUCUGUUAUUAGGGAAGAACAUAUGUGUAAGUAACUGUGCACAUCUUGACGGUACCUAAUCAGAAAGCCACGGCUAACUACGUG